AUCUUUUCUUUCUCAGGUAUAUCAGCACAACGCACCUACAAUCAUAACGGAGGUGUACCUGAACGAAUUAAGGAUGUGUGCGAACCAUCGUUUGAACGAAGAACGGAGGAAGAACACGAUUACGACGAUUGUGAUUCUUACUUCGGUGAUGAGUCCACAGCCAAUACUUGCAGUGCUCUAGGCGAAUGUGAACCACAGCGGCAACACUUCAAGCAAGCAGCUUCACCUAAAGAAGAUCCCUAUGGCAACCCAUACGAGUACGACCUCGAUGAGGAAGCCACUAUUGCUUCGCCUUCCCCUUAGAACAAAUGAUCGCAUAUGCACUGGGGUGGCCCUCAAGCUGCGUCGUAUCAAGAUUAGAUAUCGUCCUUGGCAAUUGGAAAGUUCGCCGUGACCUGACGUGAAAAGUUCGACACAAGCCUAGGGCGCUGUCUUGACGUCAUUCGAAGUGGGCUUGUCAUUUCUUGCGCCAUCAUCAUUGCCCCUGCCGCACGAAUUUCUUAAGCCAUGAAGCGGCCGCGGUAUCUGGACGGCUUCAUGUUUUUACUUUCUUGAAUUAUCCCUUUCGAUACCUUUUUAAGUGGAAAAGAAUAAAUGAUCUUAGACGA